AGACUGCCCAUCAUCCUAGCCUGUUAUCUGUGAUAAAGCACACUGAAGUUAGGUAUGGAAUGCUCUACACCUCCAUCUCCAUCUCCCACAACCUAGGUAACAGCUUUGAGACUCACUAAAAGUUGAAUCCCAGAACCCCCUGAAUGAUGUAGGCUAUGGGGCCACAUAAGACUUUGUCCAGGGUUACAUAGCACGACAACUUUAAACUAAAAAACCAACAUUUUUCACACAACUCCAGGUUGUUACUACACAUUACAAGUGUCAUCAAGGGAUAACUACAAGUAGAAGCACCAUUUUUGGAUGGAAAAAACUCCCUUCAGGAAAGUAUA